CCUACGGGAGGCAGCAGUGGGGGAUAUUGCACAAUGGGGGAAACUCUGAAGCAGCGAUGCCGCGUGGGUGAAGAAGGGCCUCGGCGCGUAAAGCCCUGUCAGUAGGGAAGAAAAUGACGGUACCUGAAGAAGACGCCCCGGCUAAGUACGAUCCAGCUGCCGCGGCAACAUGUAGGGGGCCAGCGUUAUACGGAUUUACGGGGGGUAAAGGGGGCGCAGACGGCGGUACAGGCCAGGGGUGAAAGUCCGGGGCUCAACCCCGGGACUGCUCUUGAGACUGCGUGGCUAGAGUGCAGGUGGGGUAGGCGGAAUGCCUGGUGUAGCGGUGAAAUGCUUAGAGAUCAGGAAGAACACCGGUUGCGAAGGCAGCCUACUGAACUACAACUGACGUUGAGGCACGAAAGCGUGGGGAGCAAACAGGAUUAGAUACCCGAGUAGUC
rnacentral:rRNA from 1 species